rnacentral:rRNA from 1 species
UACGUAGGGUGCAAGCGUUAAUCGGAAUUACUGGGCGUAAAGCGUGCGCAGGCGGUUAUAUAAGACAGUUGUGAAAUCCCCGGGCUCAACCUGGGAACUGCAUCUGUGACUGUAUGACUAGAGUACGGUAGAGAGGGGUGGAAUUCCUGGUGUAGCAGUGAAAUGCGUAGAUAUCAGGAGGAACAUCGAUGGCGAAGGCAGCCCCUUGGACCUGUACUGACGCUCAUGCACGAAAGCGUGGGGAGCAAACAGG